rnacentral:misc_RNA from 1 species
AUUGAGGAGCACGAUUACCAAACGAAGCUUCGCAAUGUCGUGAAGUUUCUUAAAGAAGGCGACAAGGUGAAAUGCUCCGUGCGUUUCCGCGGUCGUGAAAUCACACACGCCAGUAUUGGUCAGAAGAUUUUGGAGCGUGUAAAAGAAGAAGUUGUUGAACUGUGCAUCGUGGAGCGCCAGCCUAAGCUGGAAGGCCGCAGCAUGAUUAUGAUCUUGGCUCCUAAAGCCUAAGAGAUAUUAUGAGGAGGAAGUUGUACUAUGCCUAAAAUGAAAACACACAGCAGCCUGAAAGGCCGCUUUAAAAUUACUGGUACUGGUAAAGUAAAACGUUACA